GCCUGGGUGGCUCAGUUGGUUGAGCGUCCGACUUCAGCUACGGUCAUGAUCUCAGAGUUUGUGGGUUCAAUCCCCACAUCAGGCU
rnacentral:tRNA from 1 species